GAAUGCGCGCCCCCAGGCCCGGCCAGCGAGGGGCUCCCGGCGAGGUCCCCGAGAGUUUCCCGCUGGGUGGAGCUGGCCGAGCCCAGCAGGAUGACCAGCCCCGCAGCCGCGCAGAGCCAGGAGAUCGACUCUUUGAGACCGGAAGCGCAGAGGCUGGCGGAGGCCCGGCUCGCCGCAAAACUGGCGGCCCGCGCGGAGGCUGGUGAGAUUCGCAUGAAGAAGCUGGAGCGGCAGCGGAAGAAGGUAGAAGAGGGACCAGAAAAAGAUUUUACUGAGAAGGGGUCUGGUAACAUGCCAGGCCUGUCUGCAGCCACGCUGGCCUCUCUGGUUGGGAGUUCCUCUCGGAGGAGGCAGCUGGAGACACCUCCAUCUCCAUGGACACUAAGGCCUCCAUCAGGGAAAUAAAGAACUCUUUAGCAGAAGUUGAAGAGAAAUAUAAGAAGGCUAUGGUUUCCAGUGCUCAGCUAAACAAUGAAAAGACAAACUUCAUGUACCAGGUUGAUGCCUUGAAAGAUACGUUGCUGGAGCUUGAAGAACAGCUGACUGAAUCUAGGCAGCAGUACAAAGAGAAAAAGAAUUUGAAAGGGAAAAACAUGCCCACAGUAUACUGCAAUUUCAGUUUGCUGAAGUCAAGGAGGCCCUGAAGCAAAGAAAGGAAAUGCUCGAGAAACAUGGAAUAAUCCUAAAUUCAGAAAUAGCUACCAAUGGAGAGACUUCCGACACUCUCAAUAAUGUUGGAUACCAAGGUCCUACCAAGAUGACGAAAGAAGGGUUAAAUGCCCUCAAGUCGACAGGGGAUGGGACCCUAGGAAGAGCCAGUGAAGUGGAGGUGAAAAAUGAAAUCAUGACGAAUGUGGGGAAAAGAGAAAUCUUGCACAAUACUGAGAAAGAAUAACACACAGAGGACAUAGUGAAGGACUGUGUGGACAUAGAGGUAUUCCCUGCUGGUGAGAAUACCGAGGACCAGAAAUCCUCUGAAGACACUGCCCCAUUCCUAGGAACCUUAGCAGGAGCUACCUAUGAGGAACAGGUUCAAAGCCAAAUUCUUGAGAGGGCUUCUCUCCCUGAAAACACUGCACAGGUUGAGUCAAAUGAGGUCAUGGGUGCACCAGAUGACGGGACCAGAACUCCCCUUGAGCCAUCGAACUGUUGGAGUGACUUAGAUGGUGGGAGCCACAUAGAGAAUCUGGGAAAGUCAACUGUGACUCAGGUUGGAGAGCAGGCAGGCACAGUGGCCUUGUGCCCUUUAAAGCAUAGUGAUGACACAGUUCAUCAUGAUGACAAAUGUACGGUAGAGGUCCCCCAGAGUUAGAGACAAGCACAGGGCGUAGUUUAGAUAAAGAAUUCACCAACCAGGAAGCAGCUGAGCCCAAGGAGUUUCCAGUGCAUAGUACAGAAGUAGGUAGGGAUCACAACGAAGAAGAGGGUGAAGAAACAGGAUUAAGGGAUGAGAAACCAAUCAAGACACAAGUUCCUGGUUCUCCAGCAGAAACUGAGAGCAAUGGUCAGGAAGCGACAGGUCCAAGUACAGUAGACACUCAAAGUAGACCCUUAGAUACGAAAGAGUCCGACGAAGAAAAGACUGACCAAAAGGGAGACGCAUUGGACUCAUCGCAGAAGACAAAGAACAAGAGAAAGAGAAACAAGAAGAAAAAAUCCCCAGUACCCGUAAAAAUCCUUAAAGAACACAGAUUUAAAUGAAAUUAAGGAAGAAGAGCAGGUAAAGUCUACUGACAAAGUCAGCAGUGGAAGCCCAAAAUGAGGUGACUGAAAAUCCAAAAUAGAAAGUUGCAGCAGAAAGCAGUGAAAAUGUUGAUUGUCCGGAGAAUCCUAAAAUUAAGUUGGACAGAAAACUUGACCAAGAAGGCGAUGAUGUAAAAGCAGCAGCUGAGAAGGUGCUAGCUGAUGGAGACACAUUAGAUUUUGAGACACAGUUCAAUCAUCAGGCCCGAGGGCUGGUGGUGAAGAAUCAGAUGAAAGUGUUGCAAAAGAUAAUGCCAAAAUAGAUGGUGCCACUCAAAGCAGUCCUGUAGAACCGGAGAGUGAAGACACAGAUCGCUGGACCCUGCCCAAAAAUGAAAGUCCCUCACAGGACAUUAGUGAGGCCUGUGAAGCAGAAAGUACAGAGAGGUGUGGGAAGUCAGAACAUCCAAGUCAGACCCUCAGGAAAGCUUUAGACAGCAAUAGCCUAGAAAACGAUGACUUGGCACCAGGAGGAGAGCCGAGGGACUUCAAUCCAGAAAGCAGACAAGAUACCAGAGGAGGGAAUGAGAAGGGCAAAGGCAAGGAAGACUGUACCAUCUCCUAAGCUGAGGCAGGCGGCAGGCGUGGUGCACAGGAAGUCUGAGCGUGAGGGGCUCUUUUCUCUCCACUGCCAAUGACAGCCUUUCCUGCCUCAGGAAAGAAGAGAGAGACAGACUGCAGUGAUGGAGACCCACUAGAUGUGCACAAGAGGCUGUCGUCCAGUGCUGGAGAGGACUGAGCCAUGCUGCUGGGGUUUGCCAUGAUGGGCUUCUCAGUCCUAAUGUUCUUCUUGCUUGGAACAACCAUUCUAAAGCCUUUUAUGCUCAGGUUCUUUAUUCAGUGCAUGGAGUGAUACAGUUGACCCUUGAACAACAUGGGUUUGAACUUCGAGAAUUCACUUAUAAAUGAAUUUUCUUCUGUGCGUGCCACCCCGAGACAGUAAGACCAAUCCCUCCUCUUUCUCCUCCUCCUCAGCCUACUCAACAUGAAGGGGACAAGGAGAGGAACU